AGAGUUUGAUCCUGGCUCAGGACGAACGCUGGCGGCGUGCUUAACACAUGCAAGUCGAACGGAAAGGCCCCUUCGGGGGUACUCGAGUGGCGAACGGGUGAGUAACACGUGGGCAAUCUGCCCUGCACUUCGGGAUAAGCCUGGGAAACUGGGUCUAAUACCGGAUAGGACCUUUAGACGCAUGUCUUUUGGUGGAAAGCUUUUGCGGUGUGGGAUGGGCCCGCGGCCUAUCAGCUUGUUGGUGGGGUGACGGCCUACCAAGGCGACGACGGGUAGCCGGCCUGAGAGGGUGUCCGGCCACACUGGGACUGAGAUACGGCCCAGACUCCUACGGGAGGCAGCAGUGGGGAAUAUUGCACAAUGGGCGCAAGCCUGAUGCAGCGACGCCGCGUGGGGGAUGACGGCCUUCGGGUUGUAAACCUCUUUCACCAUCGACGAAGGUUCGGGUUUUCUCGGAUUGACGGUAGGUGGAGAAGAAGCACCGGCCAACUACGUGCCAGCAGCCGCGGUAAUACGUAGGGUGCGAGCGUUGUCCGGAAUUACUGGGCGUAAAGAGCUCGUAGGUGGUUUGUCGCGUUGUUCGUGAAAUCUCACGGCUUAACUGUGAGCGUGCGGGCGAUACGGGCAGACUAGAGUACUGCAGGGGAGACUGGAAUUCCUGGUGUAGCGGUGGAAUGCGCAGAUAUCAGGAGGAACACCGGUGGCGAAGGCGGGUCUCUGGGCAGUAACUGACGCUGAGGAGCGAAAGCGUGGGGAGCGAACAGGAUUAGAUACCCUGGUAGUCC
rnacentral:rRNA from 1 species